GAUGAACGCUGGCGGUAUGCUUAACACAUGCAAGUCGAACGGGGUUCAUAGUCACCUAGUGGCGGACGGGUGAGUAACGCGUGAGAAUCUGGCCUCAGGUCCGGGACAACCACGGGAAACGGUGGCUAAUACCGGAUGUGCCAUAUUGGUGAAAGAUUAAUUGCCUGAGGAUGAGCUCGCGUCUGAUUAGCUAGUUGGUGGGGUAAAGGCUUACCAAGGCGACGAUCAGUAACUGGUCUGAGAGGAUGACCAGUCACACUGGGACUGAGACACGGCCCAGACUCCUACGGGAGGCAGCAGUGGGGAAGUUUCCGCAAUGGGCGAAAGCCUGACGGAGCAAUACCGCGUGAGGGAGGAAGGCUCUUGGGUUGUAAACCUCUUUUCUCAGGGAAGAAGAAUGACGGUACCUGAGGAAUCAGCAUCGGCUAACUCCGUG
rnacentral:rRNA from 1 species